CCUACGGGAGGCAGCAGUAGGGAAUCUUCCACAAUGGGCGAAAGCCUGAUGGAGCAACGCCGCGUGGGUGAAGAAGGUCUUCGGAUCGUAAAACCCUGUUGUUAGAGAAGAAAGUGCGUGAGAGUAACUGUUCACGUUUCGACGGUAUCUAACCAGAAAGCCACGGCUAACUACGUGACAGCAGCCGCGGUAAUACGUAGGUGGCAAGCGUUAUCCGGAUUUAUUGGGCGUAAAGGGAACGCAGGGGGUCUUUUAAGUCUGAUGUGAAAGCCUUCGGCUUACCCGGAGUAGUGCAUUGGAAACUGGGAGACUUGAGUGCAGAAGAGGAGAGUGGAACUCCAGGUGUAGCGGUGAAAUGCGUAGAUAUAUGGAAGAACACCAGUGGCGAAAGCGGCUCUCUGGUCUGUAACUGACGCUGAGGUUCGAAAGCGUGGGUAGCAAACAGGAUUAGAUACCCCAGUAGUC
rnacentral:rRNA from 1 species